UGUGUGUGUGUGUGUGUGUGUGUGUGUGUGUGUUGUAUGUGUAUGUGUGUGUGUAUUAUACACACAUACACACACACACACACACACACACACACACACACACAUACAUAUAUAUAUUAUAUAUAUAUAUAUAUAUAUAAUAUAUAUAUGCAUGCAUACACAUAGAUACAU